ACACUCUGGUUUCUCUUCAGAUCACAUAAAUCUUUUGCCUGCUACUAAAGAUUUCUGUGGAGAGGAACAAUUGUGAGUCUUUACCCAGUUUUUUUGAGGUCUUGUGUUUGCAAGGCU
ensembl:snRNA U5 U5 spliceosomal RNA